UUUCAAAAAACAAAAAAUAUUAACCUAGGCGUCAGUUGCAUUGGCGCAUCCAAUAAAAAUGUUAUUCAUUAGCGUCACGUGCAAUGACGUAUGCAUGCGAAGGCGUCACAUGCAAUAUCACAUGCAUGUGUAGGUCGUGUGUAGGCGCCACAUGCAACGACGCAUGCAUAAUACACUCUAUGUAUGCACCAAUGCAUGUGGCUACUGCUCCACAACUCCAACUAUAAAUACAACAUCACCCUC
rnacentral:lncRNA from 1 species